UACGUAGGGUGCGAGCGUUAAUCGGAAUUACUGGGCGUAAAGCGCGCGUAGGUGGUUUGUUAAGUUGGAUGUGAGAGCCCCGGGCUCAACCUGGGAACUGCAUUCAAAACUGACAAGCUAGAGUAUGGUAGAGGGUGGUGGAAUUUCCUGUGUAGCGGUGAAAUGCGUAGAUAUAGGAAGGAACACCAGUGGCGAAGGCGACCACCUGGACUGAUACUGACACUGAGGUGCGAAAGCGUGGGGAGCAAACAGG
rnacentral:rRNA from 1 species